CUCCUUCCUGCGAAGGCGCGAGCACCGGGAUCGGGAUCGGGAUCCGGAUCCGGAUCAAGAGCGGGGAUGGGAUCUCCAUCGGGAUCGGGAUCAGGACCGAGAAUGGAAUCUCAUUUGGGGCCGGGAACGAAACUGGGAUCGGGGACGACAAAUCAAAUGCAUCUGCACCUGGACCGGUAUCACGCCGUGACACUGCGGCAGCACCGGUACUGUGUUCGGUAUUGGCACCUGUGUGCUCAGAAUCAGCAUCCUCCCGGGGACUCGGCCAUGCGAGACUCGGAUCGCAGGCUUUGGAUAAGACGAUGUUAGCGCUGCUCACACUCUUAUUGUUUGGGUUUAAGGUCGUGAUGGUACAUUCCAUGAAAGUCCCACAUUUUGAAAACCAGGAAAGAGACCGGUCACUGUUCUGAAUUCCUGACUGGACUGAAAAGGGUUAAAAGCAAGUUUAAUGGUUUGUUUUCACACCAAUAAAAAAGUAAGCAAAAAUCACCUUGUUACCUUGAUUCUUUAGAGGGAAAAAAAAAAAAAAAAAGAUUAAAA